UGGCCCACGGUGUUGCUCCCUCGCAGGACACACUGCAGAGGAUGAGCUCAGCUGAUUUUGUGCCUCCCCGUUAUUAUGUCCGCGAUCGGGCGCCGCCAACACCCAAAGUCAGUGCGGCAAAACAGGCGAGUGGCGCUCAUCAUCUCGUCUAAUGAAUGAGUGCGCAGGAAGAAGUAUGAGUCACGAAUGAGGUCUGCAGGAUGUCUUUCAAGAAGGAAACACCCCUGGCUAAUGCUGUGUUUUGGGCAGCGAGGAAGGGGAACUUGGCUCUGCUUCAACUGCUACUCAACAGCGGGCGAGUGGACGCAGACUGCAGAGACAGUGUAUGGACACUGCAUGCUGUGGCUGCUCAGAUGCACACUUUAACCAUAUUCCACCUGUGGUAGGGACACAGAAAGCUUCAAGCCUUACCUGUGGGGUUCAUGUAGUGCAUUAUGGAACAACAGCGCUGAUGGUGGCAUCAUACAGCGGCCAUUAUGACUGUGUUAAAGAGCUUAUCAUGCAAGGGGCUGAUAUCAACUACCAAAGAGAGGUAUGCUGGGGAAAUGAAACCCAAUGAAUUAACUAAAUACUCUUACAGACUCCAAAACAUAUAGUGUUGGUAAAGGUGUUUUUACAUUGUCAGAAUUAGGCAAAUACAAUAUUAGUGAAUGAACUUGACAGAUUUUGACUGUCCAGGCUUUAAAUUUAGAUGUGUUGACAGAUGGAUUUAUCUUAUUUCAAUGGAAGCAUACUCAUGCUAGCUUUACCCCCUUUGUCCAGCCUUUGUGCUGAGCUAAGGAAACUCACUGUCUGCUACCGCUGGUGAAUUUAGAAGGUCACUACAACCUGCUGGCACAUAGCUCCUGAAAACCCACUAAUUGUUGUUUUUACACUUUCCAGUUUUCCAGACAUGGAUUAGAAAUUCGUCCAGACCAAAAGAAAAAUAUUGAAGUUUUAAAUUGAAUAAAGUUUUUAGUCUAGGACUAGACUUCCGCCAUGUCUGGAACACUGUGCCUUUAACUGUUAAUUA